GGGGCGGUGGCGGAAUGGCAGACGCUGCGGACUUAAAAUCCGCUGGAGGAAACUCCAUGAGGGUUCGAAUCCCUCCCGCCCUA
rnacentral:tRNA from 1 species